GAGGGACUGUGAUGUCAGAUGUACCCUAUUUCCUGUUCUUUAUAAGUAGAUGUCAGACAGAGACAGACUGCAGUACACAGCCAGCUGUGGUAAUGGUGAUGUCACUGUUGAGGAGUUUUCUGUUGUUCUACUUCUCAUUCAACAAAUUGACCACAGCAGCAGAAGCCAUUCUCUGGGUGAAGACGGGGGAGAAGUUUACCAUGAAGUGCUCCACCACUCUAAAAGACCAGGAUGGAAUGUACCUGUAUGUUGGGCUGGACAGGGACAGGGAGGUGCUGUAUUACUACCAGCGUGACUCCAAACUGACCCCCAGGAGACGUUACUGGGACAGAGUGAAGACUGAGGGACCUGUGGACCAACUGACCAUCACCGUCAGUAACCUGACCAUAGAGGACACAGGUGUCUACUGGUGUGUUUACACAAAAUUCAAUAAAUCCACGUAUGAAAAUGACAUCAACCAAGGAAGAGGCUCCACUCUGGUCGUGGUGAAUGGUAGAGACGAUGCCCUCCAGCUGCCAUGCCCCACAGCUAUUGCAGUAACACUGACCCCCUUUCACCCAGCCAACGAGAAGCUGUGCGCAUCUGGCGUGGAAAACAUCAUCAUCAUCACCAGCAUCUUGACCACCCUGAUGUGUGCCGUCAUCUUCCUCGCCUGGGUCGCUCCACGGGUGAAGAGGUGCUGUAACCAGGGAGGAUACACACCCCAGGUCUUUCCUGACUCGGUCUAUGAAGACAUGGCCAGGAAUCCCAUUUAUCCACCAGACACACAGCAGUGUUUUUAGGUCACUGGACCACUCAUCAAGCUGUUCCUGUGCAUGUUGUCUUCCACAAAGCCAAAAGAACUUCAACGUUAAAAUGAGAACAGUUUGUUAAGACUUUUAUUAUAUUUUAUCAUAGGUACAAAUAUUUUAGCUCCUUAAACUUUCAGGCACAUCAGGAUAUAAGCCAUUUUACAUUACAUUUGAUUAUUCUAUGGUUUUAGUUGAGAUAGCUAGUAGGUUAAACCAUAAUGGUCUGAGUACAUUGUUUUCAUGCUGAUACAGAGUAAUGAGUGUGUCUUAUGGAUGGAAAAACAAUGAUUCAUUUUUACUAAGUGACGUAGUAUUUGUCUUACACUAGGAGUCCCUGUUUUUUUACUUAUGUUUCAACUUCCUAACAGCUAUUUUCACUUUAAAUAGCUGUAAAUGUGUAUUGUAUCUUUAUAAAGGAAGACAAAUAUUCUCACCGUUUGCCUUUUAAUCAAAAUUAUUGAUACAUAAUUGAUAGUUAUGUGAUAUUCAACUUGUGUAUUCAUGUUUAUGUUGUAUUUGUAUGUAUAAAGCAUUGGUGAUGUUCAGCUAUAUUGCUUACAGUAUUUUGUAUGUUUAGAAAGCUUUCUAAAUGAAGUCAGACAGGAAACUAGAGUGUUUGUAUCAGCUGAUAUUGAACCAAUUAGAUUCCCUCUACCGUAAUAUGGCAGUCUAUUUAGUUAACCAGGUAAUGCACAUCCUUUCAUUAUGUCUGCUGCACGCAAGCUAUCCAUUGGUGUUCUUGGUGACAUGCUAUGAUGUAACAUGCGGUACUCGCCCUGCAUGUCUGCUUUCCCACCACCCACCCCAGACUCCACCUGUUUGGGCACUGCUUUUGUUUCAGUCAGGGGGAUUGGUAUAGCAUACCUGGCUCACUGUUUGUUAUUAUGUUAUCAUUAUGCAUGCUCUGGCAGUGAGCUACCCCGAAGGAGCAGAGCCUUACGCCAAGAGUAACAUAUUGAAUGUAUUGUAAUCCUUUCUAAUAAAUGGUUAAACAAAUAUGUGACGUUUCAGUAACUUUUA
rnacentral:lncRNA from 1 species